UACGUAGGGGGCGAGCGUUGUCCGGAUUUAUUGGGCGUAAAGAGCUCGUAGGUGGUUUGAUAAGUCGGAUGUGAAAUCUCCAGGCUCAACCUGGAGCUGCCAUUCGAUACUGUCAUGACUUGAGUCCGGUAGGGGACCACGGAAUUCCUGGUGUAGCGGUGAAAUGCGCAGAUAUCAGGAGGAACACCGGUGGCGAAGGCGGUGGUCUGGGCCGGAACUGACGCUGAGGAGCGAAAGCGUGGGUAGCAAACAGG
rnacentral:rRNA from 1 species